UUGUUGACAAUUAAUACAACAUCAAGUAUAAAAGCUGGAAGGCACUGAGUGACAAAGCUAGUGCACAACGUAAGAAUCAAGCUCCCAGAAAAACCGUUUUCCUCCGUCUUGCUGAGAAAUGAAUGUCCCCCCCAGCCUACCCGAGGUACAGUCCCCUCGUACCCACGGCACUCGAGUCAAUGAGGAGGAAAUUGAAAUGGGCUGCACGGAUUUGGGUGGGGAAGCAAGCGAUGAAGGAGGUUUGGAGAGCGAAAGUGUUGACGGUGAACCAAAUUUUGACUACAGAUCAGUGUUUGUGCAACCCAAGAGCAGUACGCUAGGGAGCUGUCCCGAUAGAUUCAUGAAGUGUUUCUACAACAAAGUUCGCUUCUCUUGUCUCUAUUGCUGGGUGUUUGCGUGUGGCGUGCCCUGGGUUUUUUAUUUGGCACUGAUGAAUGCAACAAUCAUUUGGUUGUACACAUGGGUUUUUUUUCCUCUGUCGAAAAUGUUCGACUUCCUACUCAAGAAGAUUGUUCGGGUAUUCUACAGUCUGGUUGGUGACCUAGUUGGACCGUUUGGAGACUGCAUCAUUAACUGGCUGGGCAUGUUCUGUGGUCACAAAUGUCCAAUGCUCGCGAAAAGAAUGAAGAAGGCAAAACAAAUCAUCAAAAUUUCUGAAGCAUAAUUAAAGAGCUGGACCAACCACAUGUACUACACUGACUGGAAACUAUUGUUUUCUAGCACUUAAUUUACCUACUGUAGUCAAUUAACUCACAACACACAUGUAUGCAUACCACUGUAACAACUGUACGUAUACUUAUAGAUAUUAUGGAUUGCA